AUUGAACGCUGGCGGCAGGCCUAACACAUGCAAGUCGAGCGGAUGAAGGGAGCUUGCUCCUGGAUUCAGCGGCGGACGGGUGAGUAAUGCCUAGGAAUCUGCCUGGUAGUGGGGGAUAACGUCCGGAAACGGGCGCUAAUACCGCAUACGUCCUGAGGGAGAAAGUGGGGGAUCUUCGGACCUCACGCUAUCAGAUGAGCCUAGGUGGGAUUAGCUGGUUGGUGGGGUAAAGGCCUACCAAGGCGACGAUCCGUAACUGGUUUGAGAGGGUGAUCAGUCAAACUGGAAAUGGGAAACGGGCCCAAACCCCUAGGGAGGGCAGCGGGGGGAAAAUUGGACAAAGGGGGGAAACCCUAACCCACCAUAGCGGGGGGGGGAAAAAAGGUUUUGGGUUGGAAAACCAUUUUAAGGGGGGAGAAAGGCAGGUAAUUAAAUCCCUGGUUGUUUGACGGUACCCAAAGAAAAAAGCCCGGCUAAAUUUGUG
rnacentral:rRNA from 1 species